UUGUAGCAACAUGUUGCAACUUCCUGGCAAUAUCUUCCUUUUGCAGCAUCACAAGGCAUAUCAAGAGAGAUUUAAGCUCACGUUUAGCUCCACUAGUCAGUGACAUCCCCUUUAAAUGCUCUACCAAACCCAUCUCCUCACCGGGACUUCCAGCACGUAUUUUCCCUCUAUUCCGUUGACGUCUCAUGUCUCUUGCUUUUGUACUAGCUCUGGAGUUUAUUGAUGCAGCUGAUCCCUUUCUUGUCCCCAAUGUAUAUGCACUCAUUCCACUGAAAUUGCUACUAGUUUCAGAAGCAGUAUCAUCAUCAAGUUCAUUUAUUGAUCGCUCAUCUGACUGUAGCUUUGCAGCAAGUAAUAAUCUCCGUUGUCGAACACCUAAAUAUCGAGUCAAGUACUUCCCCACUUUCUCUAGCCCUUCCUCAUAUUCACUAACCAGUGAGCUGGCACACUCAAGUGAUGCAGUCUUUACUUCAAGGACCAGAUCGUCUCUCCUGUAAAGAAAUGCAGUUCUCAAAGCUUCUUCCCAUUCCCUUGCACUGACCAAGAAAUUAAUACCAGCGUUAACAUCUGCGCAAUACUCCAAAGCUAUUUUUGCAGCAUCCCCUGGUUUACCAAGUGCUUGGAGUUCAUCACAAAGCUCCUGUGCUAGUUGCAAGACUUCCUCCUUCCCUAGUUUAAUGAGACCAGCUACUGUCAGAACCCCACCCCAAUUACCACACUCACGAUAAGCCUUCAAAGCUUUAUCCAAACAAGAACAGCACAUAUAUGUUGCAGCAGCAUCCUCAAA
rnacentral:misc_RNA from 1 species